AAUCCAUAGGUUAAUGAGGCGAACCGGGGGAACUGAAACAUCUAAGUACCCCGAGGAAAAGAAAUCAACCGAGAUUCCCCCAGUAGCGGCGAGCGAACGGGGAGGAGCCCAGAGCCUGAAUCAGCAUGUGUGUUAGUGGAAGCGUCUGGAAAGGCGCGCGAUACAGGGUGACAGCCCCGUACACAAAAGCGCAUGUGCUGUGAGCUCGAUGAGUAGGGCGGGACACGUGGUAUCCUGUCUGAAUAUGGGGGGACCAUCCUCCAAGGCUAAAUACUCCUGACUGACCGAUAGUGAACCAGUACCGUGAGGGAAAGGCGAAAAGAACCCCGGCGAGGGGAGUGAAAAAGAACCUGAAACCGUGUACGUACAAGCAGUGGGAGCACCCUUUGGGGUGUGACUGCGUACCUUUUGUAUAAUGGGUCAGCGACUUAUAUUCUGUAGCAAGGUUAACCGAAUAGGGGAGCCGGAGGGAAACCGAGUCUUAAU
rnacentral:rRNA from 2 species